GGACAGGUGGUGGCAUGGUUGUCGUCAGCUCGUGUCGUGAGAUGUUGGGUUAAGUCCCGCAACGAGCGCAACCCUCGACCUUAGUUGCCAGCAUUCAGUUGGGCACUCUAAGGUGACUGCCGGCUAAAAGUCGGAGGAAGGUGGGGAUGACGUCAAAUCAUCAUGCCCCUUAUGACCUGGGCUACACACGUGCUACAAUGGGCGGUACAAAGGGUCGCGAACCCGCGAGGGGGAGCCAAUCCCAAAAAGCCGCUCUCAGUUCGGAUUGCAGGCUGCAACUCGCCUGCAUGAAGCCGGAAUCGCUAGUAAUCGCGGAUCAGCAUGCCGCGGUGAAUACGUUCCCGGGCCUU
rnacentral:rRNA from 1 species